UACGGGGGGCAAGCGUUGUUCGGAAUUACUGGGCGUAAAGGGCUCGUAGGUGGCCAACUAAGUCAGACGUGAAAUCCCUCAGCUUAAACUGGGGAACUGCGUCUGAUACUGGAUGGCUUGAAUCCGGGAGAGGGAUGCGGAAUUCCAGGUGUAGCGGUGAAAUGCGUAGAUAUCUGGAGGAACACCGGUGGCGAAGGCGGCAUCCUGGACCGGCAUUGACGCUGAGGAGCGAAAGCCAGGGGAGCAAAGCGGGG
rnacentral:rRNA from 1 species